rnacentral:rRNA from 1 species
UAAUACGGAGGGUGCAAGCGUUGUUCGGAAUUACUGGGCGUAAAGGGCGCGUAGGCGGCCUGAUUAGUCAGAUGUGAAAGCCCACGGCUCAACCGUGGAAGUGCAUUUGAAACUGUCAGGCUUGAGUAUCGGAGGGGAAAGUGGAAUUCCCGGUGUAGAGGUGAAAUUCGUAGAGAUCGGGAGGAACACCGGUGGCGAAGGCGACUUUCUGGACGAAUACUGACGCUGAGGCGCGAAAGCGUGGGGAGCAAACAGGAUUAGAUACCCUGGUAGUCCACGCCGUAAACGAUGUGAACUAGGGAUAGGGGGUGUUGAUCCCUCCUGUCCCGCAGCUAACGCAUUAAGUUCACCGCCUGGGGAGUACGGUCGCAAGAUUA